CCUCUAUCUGGGGCACUUUCUUUCCGGCCGCGCCGCCGACGUUCAGCGAGCUGUUCUUGUAGUCCAGCGGCUCCUCGUGGGCGAGCAAUUAUAAAGUAUGAUGAAGUUGACUCACCAUCAGCAAGCUUAAGCUGCACUGCUUUCAACGUUUCACUUCCGUCAUGCAUCAUUAAACGGCUGACUUCUGGGAAUGGUUGCCACAGCAACGCUGCGGUUACAUGACACUCAUCGUUCUGCAUCUCUCAUCAGUCAUCAGAGCAAGAAGAAAAUAAAAAAAGCCUCUUUCCGGUCGCAGCCUGUACAAAAAAUUGCCUCCCCCACAAGAACAUGUGACCCUCCAGAGAGGAACUUCACCAGAUGGUCUCUCAAAGAGGGGCCAGCCCAGGCCAGCUCACAGGGUUGAGGGCAAAGCUGCUGUCCCCAUUUUUUUGGACACUAUAAUCCCCUGAGACUAUCCCAGAGGAAAUGAUAUUACAGGGUCUUCUUGCAACAAGUAAAUGGGUCAGAUUAAUUCUACAGAAAAACCCGGUACUGUAUUUAACAAGUCAUUUAUAAUAUGUGGGUGAAUUGUCUUUUUUUUUAGUAUAAAAAUAACUAUUUAUGAAAAACUGCAUGCAUAUUUCUCACCCUCCUCAGCUGUAAUCAUUGUGUGGGAGUGCCCUACAUACAUGCCUGAGCAUUUUAAGCCCUUAAUAAUCACAAUAAAACCAACACAUCAGCAAUUAUGCAAGUGACAACACAACAUUAGUAAAACUAACACAAUGUUUAUUCAAAAAUUAAUGACAGGCAAUUAAAGGGUGAUAUAUAUAUAUAUUUUUUAAGUGUAGUACUGUCCAAAAGUCUUUGACACCAUGAAAUUUGUUGUUUGCUUUGGUACCUUGCUUUAGUUAUAAGAAGGUGCUGCUCUCUAGUGGUAAUUUUAGUUACGACAAC